CCUACGGGUGGCAGCAGUGAGGAAUAUUGCUCAAUGGGCGCAAGCCUGAACCAGCCAAGUCGCGUGAAGGAUGAAUGCCCUCCGGGUUGUAAACUUCUUUUAUAAAGGAGUAAAGUGAGGCACGUGUGCCUCUUUGUAUGUACUUUAUGAAUAAGGAACGUAUAACUCCGUGCCAGCAGCCGCGGUAAUACGGAGGAUCCGAGCGUUACCCGGAUUUACUGGGUUUAAAGGGAGCGUAGAUGGGUUGUUAAGUCAGUUGUGAAAGUUUGCGGCUCAACCGUAAAAUUGCAAUUGAUACUGGCAGCCUUGAGUACAGGAGAGGUAGGUGGAAUUCGUGGUGUAGCGGUGAAAUGCGUAGAUAUCACGAAGAACUCCGAUGGCGAAGGCAGCUUACUAAACUGUCACUGACAUUGAGGCUCGAAAGUGUGGGUAGCAAACAGGAUUAGAUACCCGUGUAGUC
rnacentral:rRNA from 1 species